rnacentral:rRNA from 1 species
UACCAGCACCCCGAGCGGUCGGGACGUUUAUUGGGCCUAAAGCAUCCGUAGCCGGUUCUACAAGUCUUCCGUUAAAUCCAACUGCUUAACAGGUGGGCUGCGGAAGAUACUAUAGAGCUAGGAGGCGGGAGAGGCAAGCGGUACUCGAUGGGUAGGGGUAAAAUCCGUUGAUCCAUUGAAGACCACCAGUGGCGAAGGCGGCUUGCCAGAAUGCGCUCGACGGUGAGGGAUGAAAGCUGGGGGAGCAAACCGG